rnacentral:tRNA from 1 species
GGGCGCGUAGUUCAGCCUGGAAGAACGGCCGUGUAAUGGGUCAAUAUUAUUGUGAUCGUGAGUCCGCGCGGCACAAUCACAAUCCCAAUGCUCAUCUGACUCACCACGGACAGCCCGGGGUUCAAAUCCUCGCGUGCCCA